GCCCGUCUAGCGAAUUGGGAGUCGUGAGUUCGAGUCUCACCGGAGUACGUGGAUUUCUUUUCAUAAUUUCAAAUCUCAAUUUGUUCAUCGAGCACAUGUUCUGUUGUGCACAUGGAUGUCAAAGCAUUUUCAACAGUGUAAUUUCCCACAUGGCUUGGUCAGCCAAAGCAAAAUCAAGAAAUUGACAUUUGUAAGGUGCUACGGUCACCCUUACCGUAUUCGGUCGGCCGAGGACCGACCCGUCGAGAGUCCGACUGCACACUAAUUGCCAUACCAAUAAGUGAUUGGGAGGCAGUGCCCGAAGCUCUCGACAAUUAAAAAUAACUUCCUCUCCCGCUUUGACAUACAUGUGCACAACAGACAAUGUGUUAGAUGUUCAUCUAAUCCCAUCCGAAGGGGGUUUGGAUUGUGAAAAGAAGAUAACCAUGUGCGAUUGUGGAAUCGAGUUCAGUUCUAGGCCUGCUGGCGACGGAGAUAGUCGAGUGACUCCGUAGCUUGAAGGAAUAGAAGCGCCCGUCUAGCGAAUUGGGAGUCGUGAGUUCGAGUCUCACCGGAGUACGUGGAUUUCUUUUCAUAAUUUCAAAUCUCAAUUUGUUCAUCGAGCACAUGUUCUGUUGUGCACAUGGAUGUCAAAGCAUUUUCAACAGGUGCUACGGUCACCCUUACCGUAUUCGGUCGGCCGAGGACCGACCCGUCGAGAGUCCGACUGCACACUAAUUGCCAUACCAAUAAGUGAUUGGAAGGCAGUGCCCGAAGCUCUCGACAAUUAAAAAUAACUUCCUCUCCCGCUUUGACAUACAUGUGCACAACAGACAAUGUGUUAGA